UACAGAGGUCUCGAGCGUUGUUCGGAUUCAUUGGGCGUAAAGGGUGCGUAGGCGGCGGGGCAAGUCUGAUGUGAAAUCCCGGGGCUCAACUCCGGGCCUGCAGCCGAUACGGGCAGACUAGAGUUCGGCAGGGGAGACUGGAAUUCCUGGUGUAGCGGUGAAAUGCGUAGAUAUCGGGAGGAACACCAGUGGCGAAGGCGGCUACCUGGCCCAUUCUUGACGCUGAGGCGCGAAAGCUAGGGGAGCAAACGGG
rnacentral:rRNA from 1 species